CCUUCUUCCCAGUGCGGCCCGGGCUGCGGCCCCGGGUCCGAGGAGGCCCGGGGAGACCCGGAGGAGGUCAGAAGGCCUUCAGGGUCCCCGGGAUGGGGUGGAAACUGAGACCCAGAGAGCCGUGACUUGACUGAUCCCACAGCCAGGAAAUGGUGGAGCCUGGAUUUGAACCCCAGCUUUUAAGAAGAAGGUGCCACUGUCCUGGAAGAACUCUCAGGACAGCAUUAGUGUCUCAGGGAUCCCCCUAAUCGGAGGGGCCUUAAGCCUAAUCAUGAUUGUCACUGAAGAUCCAGGAGGGCUUCCUGGAGGAGGAGGCAGCUCCAUUCUGAAAUGCCAAGGGUACAGCUUUAUUGGGACAGCCAGUGUCUCUGAAUAUGUAGGUUUUGCACAGAGCUUGUACUGCCCCAGGGCCUGUACACUGCCUGUCCCCUCUGCCUUGUGCACUCUUUCCCUAGAUGUCCAAAUGGCUCCUUUCCUCACCUACCCCAAAUCUCAAUUCCAGUGUUUCCCCAGCCUCCCCUCAUUUCAGUAAUCACUCUGCAGUGAGCUAGGAUUGCGCCACUGCACUCCAGCUUGGAUAAGAGAACAAGACCCUGUCUCUUAACUAAAUACAUAAAUAAAAAUAAUUCCCCUCUUCA
rnacentral:lncRNA from 1 species